AGUGAACGCUGGCGGUAGGCCUAACACAUGCAAGUCGAACGGCAGCACAGUAGGAGCUUGCUCUUACGGGUGGCGAGUGGCGGACGGGUGAGGAAUACAUCGGAAUCUACUUUUUCGUGGGGAUAACGUAGGGAAACUUACGCUAAUACCGCAUACGACCUACGGGUGAAAGCAGGGGAUCUUCGGACCUUGCGCGAUUGAAUGAGCCGAUGUCGGAUUAGCUAGUUGGCGGGGUAAAGGCCCACCAAGGCGACGAUCCGUAGCUGGUCUGAGAGGAUGAUCAGCCACACUGGAACUGAGACACGGUCCAGACUCCUACGGGAGGCAGCAGUGGGGAAUAUUGGACAAUGGGCGCAAGCCUGAUCCAGCCAUACCGCGUGGGUGAAGAAGGCCUUCGGGUUGUAAAGCCCUUUUGUUGGGAAAGAAAAGCAGCAGGUUAAUACCCCGCUGUUCUGACGGUACCCAAAGAAUAAGCACCGGCUAACUUCGUG
rnacentral:rRNA from 1 species